GACGAACGCUGGCGGCGUGCUUAACACAUGCAAGUCGAGCGGAAAGGCCCUUUCGGGGGUACUCGAGCGGCGAACGGGUGAGUAACACGUGAGUAAUCUGCCUCUGGCUUCGGGAUAGCCACCGGAAACGGUGAUUAAUACCGGAUACGACACAUCACUGCAUGGUGCGUGUGUGGAAAGUUUUUUCGGCCAGGGAUGUGCUCGCGGCCUAUCAGCUUGUUGGUGGGGUAAUGGCCUACCAAGGCUUCGACGGGUAGCCGGCCUGAGAGGGUGACCGGCCACACUGGGACUGAGACACGGCCCAGACUCCUACGGGAGGCAGCAGUGGGGAAUAUUGGACAAUGGGCGGAAGCCUGAUCCAGCAACGCCGCGUGAGGGAUGACGGCCUUCGGGUUGUAAACCUCUUUCAGCACAGACGAAGCGCAAGUGACGGUAUGUGCAGAAGAAGGACCGGCCAACUACGUGCCAGCCGCCGCGGUAAGAC
rnacentral:rRNA from 1 species